AACGCGAAGAACCUUACGAACCUGUUCAGUUAUGGAGAGACUUCGGCUUUGCCGCGCGGGGCAUUUCCUGAUGAGCACAAAUGGCAGAUCUCGGAUGUCUAUUCGCAUACGCUUGGCCAUCACAGUGUGAAGGCCGGGUUUGACGCUUUCUUCGUGCACGAGCAGAUCGCGAAUCUCUUUGGUGGCGACGGCUCAUUCAGCUACUCCAACCAGAGCGUUGAGGCGAACUUUGCCGACUGGGUUCAGGACCAGCUCGCAGUGAAUCCGACGACGAACCUCGGCGGAGCCGCGGGGCUUCCACGUCACUACGCUUCGUUCUCGCAGACGGUCGAUCAGCUGACCGGGGUUGGCGCAGAUGACUUCUGGAACCAGAACCUCGACUUCUUCGCCGAGGAUCAGUGGCAGGCAUCGCCGAAGCUGCUGCUGUCGCUCGGUCUUCGUUAUGACGUGCAGCUGGUUCCCGGGCCUUGUACACACCGCUAGU
rnacentral:rRNA from 1 species